rnacentral:miRNA from 14 species
CAUCUUACCCGACAGCAUUAGA